rnacentral:rRNA from 1 species
UUAGUGGUUGGGGGACUGCGUACCUUUUGUAUAAUGGGUCAGCGACUUAUAUUCUGUAGCAAGGUUAACCGUAUAGGGGAGCCGGAGGGAAACCGAGUCUUAACCGGGCGUUAAGUUGCAGGGUAUAGACCCGAAACCCGGUGAUCUAGCCAUGGGCAGGUUGAAGGUUGGGUAACACUAACUGGAGGACCGAACCGACUAAUGUUGAAAAAUUAGCGGAUGACCUGUGGCUGGGGGUGAAAGGCCAAUCAAACCGGGAGAUAGCUGGUUCUCCCCGAAAGCUAUUUAGGUAGCGCCUCGUGAAUUCAUCUCCGGGGGUAGAGCACUGUUUCGGCUAGGGGGCCAUCCCGGCUUACCAACCCGAUGCAAACUGCGAAUACCGGAGAAUGUUAUCACGGGAGACACACGGCGGGUGCUAACGUCCGUCGUGAAGAGGGAAACAACCCAGACCGCCAGCUAAGGUCCCAAAGUCAUGGUUAAGUGGGAAACGAUGUGGGAAGGCCCAGACAGCCAGGAUGUUGGCUUAGAAGCAGCCAUCAUUUAAAGAAAGCGUAAUAGCUCACUGGUCGAGUCGGCCUGCGCGGAAGAUGUAACGGGGCUAAACCAUGCACCGAAGCUGCGGCAGCGANNNNNNNNNNNNNNNNNNNUGCUGGAGGUAUCAGAAGUGCGAAUGCUGACAUAAGUAACGAUAAAGCGGGUGAAAAGCCCGCUCGCCGGAAGACCAAGGGUUCCUGUCCAACGUUAAUCGGGGCAGGGUGAGUCGACCCCUAAGGCGAGGCCGAAAGGCGUAGUCGAUGGGAAACGGGUUAAUAUUCCCGUACUUGGUGUUACUGCGAAGGGGGGACGGAGAAGGCUAUGUUGGCCGGGCGACGGUUGUCCCGGUUUAAGCGUGUAGGUGUGUGUUCCAGGUAAAUCCGGUUCACUUUAACACUGAGGCGUGACGACGAGGCACUACGGUGCUGAAGCAACAAAUGCCCUGCUUCCAGGAAAAGCCUCUAAGCAUCAGGUAACAUCAAAUCGUACCCCAAACCGACACAGGUGGUCAGGUAGAGAAUACCAAGGCGCUUGAGAGAACUCGGGUGAAGGAACUAGGCAAAAUGGUGCCGUAACUUCGGGAGAAGGCACGCUGACACGUAGGUGAAGUGAUUUACUCACGGAGCUGAAGUCAGUCGAAGAUACCAGCUGGCUGCAACUGUUUAUUAAAAACACAGCACUGUGCAAACACGAAAGUGGACGUAUACGGUGUGACGCCUGCCCGGUGCCGGAAGGUUAAUUGAUGGGGUCAGCGCAAGCGAAGCUCCUGAUCGAAGCCCCGGUAAACGGCGGCCGUAACUAUAACGGUCCUAAGGUAGCGAAAUUCCUUGUCGGGUAAGUUCCGACCUGCACGAAUGGCGUAAUGAUGGCCAGGCUGUCUCCACCCGAGACUCAGUGAAAUUGAACUCGCUGUGAAGAUGCAGUGUACCCGCGGCAAGACGGAAAGACCCCGUGAACCUUUACUAUAGCUUGACACUGAACAUUGAGCCUUGAUGUGUAGGAUAGGUGGGAGGCUUUGAAGUGUGGACGCCAGUCUGCAUGGAGCCGACCUUGAAAUACCACCCUUUAAUGUUUGAUGUUCUAACGUGGACCCGUAAUCCGGGUUGCGGACAGUGUCUGGUGGGUAGUUUGACUGGGGCGGUCUCCUCCUAAAGAGUAACGGAGGAGCACGAAGGUUGGCUAAUCCUGGUCGGACAUCAGGAGGUUAGUGCAAUGGCAUAAGCCAGCUUGACUGCGAGCGUGACGGCGCGAGCAGGUGCGAAAGCAGGUCAUAGUGAUCCGGUGGUUCUGAAUGGAAGGGCCAUCGCUCAACGGAUAAAAGGUACUCCGGGGAUAACAGGCUGAUACCGCCCAAGAGUUCAUAUCGACGGCGGUGUUUGGCACCUCGAUGUCGGCUCAUCACAUCCUGGGGCUGAAGUAGGUCCCAAGGGUAUGGCUGUUCGCCAUUUAAAGUGGUACGCGAGCUGGGUUUAGAACGUCGUGAGACAGUUCGGUCCCUAUCUGCCGUGGGCGCUGGAGAACUGAGGGGGGCUGCUCCUAGUACGAGAGGACCGGAGUGGACGCAUCACUGGUGUUCGGGUUGUCAUGCCAAUGGCACUGCCCGGUAGCUAAAUGCGGAAGAGAUAAGUGCUGAAAGCAUCUAAGCACGAAACUUGCCCCGAGAUGAGUUCUCCCUGAGACUUAGAGUCUCCUGAAGGAACGUUGAAGACGACGACGUUGAUAGGCCGGGUGUGUAAGCGCAGCGAUGCGUUGAGCUAACCGGUACUAAUGAACCGUGAGGCUUAACCUUACAACGCCGAAG